rnacentral:rRNA from 1 species
UACGUAGGGACCAAGCGUUGUUCGGAUUUACUGGGCGUAAAGGGCGCGUAGGUGGCGCGGUAAGCGUGCGGUGAAAGCCUGGGGCUCAACCCCGGGUCGGCCGUGCGAACUGCUGGGCUUGAGCACUGUAGAGGCAGGCGGAAUUCCGGGUGUAGCGGUGGAAUGCGUAGAGAUCCGGAAGAACACCGGUGGCGAAGGCGGCCUGCUGGGCAGUUGCUGACACUGAGGCGCGACAGCGUGGGGAGCAAACAGG